rnacentral:rRNA from 1 species
GUACCGUGAGGGAAAGGUGAAAAGCACCCCGACGAGGGGAGUGAAACAGUACCUGAAACCGAACGCCUACAAUCAGUUGGAGCCUCCUUGCGGGGUGACAGCGUACCUUUUGUAUAAUGGGUCAUCGACUUGGUCUCACGAGCAAGCUUAAACCGUUAGGUGUAGGCGCAGCGAAAGCGAGUCUUAAUAGGGCGCAUGAGUUCGUGGGAUCAGACCCGAAACCGAGUGAUCUAGGCAUGGCCAGGUUGAAGGUGCAGUAACAUGCACUGGAGGACCGAACCCACAUCUGUUGAAAAAGAUCGGGAUGAGCUGUGCCUAGGGGUGAAAGGCCAAUCAAACUCGGAGAUAGCUGGUUCUCUGCGAAAUCUAUUUAGGUAGAGCGUCGUCCGAAUACCCCGGGGGGUAGAGCACUGGAUGGGUAAUGGGGACUCACCGUCUUACUGAUCCUAACCAAACUCCGAAUACCCGGGAGUACUAGACGGCAGACACACUGCGGAUGCUAACGUCCGUAGUGGAGAGGGAAACAACCCUGACCUCCAGCUAAGGCCCCUAAUUCAUGGCUAAGUGGGAAAGCAGGUGGGAUGUCCAAAACAACCAGGAAGUUGGCUUAGAAGCAGCCAUCUUUUAAAGAUAGCGUAACAGCUCACUGGUCUAAUUAAGACGUCCUGCGGCGAAGAUGUAACGGGGCUCAAGCCAUGAGCCGAAGCUGAGGAUGCACAUAGUGCAUGGUAGCAGAGCGUAGUGUGACAUAGUUCCAUGUCUCCUUACCUACUUCGGUAGGAUUGGAGACACGGAGCUUUCGAUGAAGCCGGGGCGUGAGCCAUCCGGUGGAGAGAUCACUAGCGAGAAUGAUGACAUGAGUAGCGACAAAGAGUGUGAGAGACACUCUCGCCGAAAGUCCAAGGGUUCCUGCUUAAAGCUAAUCUGAGCAGGGUAAGCCGACCCCUAAGGCGAGGCCGAAGGGCGUAGUCGAUGGGAACCAGGUUAAUAUUCCUGGGCCAUGAGGUGGUGACGGAUCGCAGGUGUUGUUCAUCCUUAUUGGAUUGGAUGAGCAGCUGAGCGGUUCCUGGAAAUAGCCCCUCUAUAAGAUCGUACCCUAAACCGACACAGGUGGACAGGUAGAGAAUACCAAGGCGCUUGAGAGAACGAUGUUGAAGGAACUCGGCAAAAUACCUCCGUAAGUUCGCGAGAAGGAGGCCCGGUUUCUACGCAAGUGGAAGCUGGGGGCACAAACCAGGGGGUGGCGACUGUUUAUUAAAAACACAGGGCUCUGCGAAGUCGCAAGACGACGUAUAGGGUCUGACGCCUGCCCGGUGCCUGAAGGUUAAAAGGAGGGGUGAGAGCUCUGAAUUGAAGCCCAGGUAAACGGCGGCCGUAACUAUAACGGUCCUAAGGUAGCGAAAU